rnacentral:lncRNA from 1 species
CUGAAUGACAACAAUAUAGCCUUGUCACUACUAGUUGGCAAGUUGGUUGAUAUGGGGUGCAGUAGGCUAGCGUCAUUAUUAAUUGAGUCCCUUGACAAAAUUAUAUUAUUUUUGACUUGGUAAAAUAAGCUAAUUGUGUGCACUCUCACUAGAUAGAAUUGUGUGGUUUGGUGGCAGAUUUUCAAAAGGAAAUAGACAUAUACAGUAUAUCGUCAGCAAUUCUCAAUCAGAUGAGAUACAGAGCUAACCCAUAUUGAAUUUCAUUCAUAAAUGUGGACACUAAUUAUUGUUAAUAUUCUAAUUAUCUAGGCCCUCCAUUCCCAAACCUGAAGCCCCCUGUCCCGAGCAGGAAAGACCAGGAAAAGUGUUGGUUUAAUUAAGGUAUUUAGAGUUACUGACAUGAAUAAAAGCAUAUACAAGCAAUCUAUCAAAUGUAUUUUAUAAAGCCCCUUUUACAUCAGGAGUUGUCACAACGUGCUUAUACAGAUAUCCAGCCUAAAACCUCAAAGAGCAAGCAAUGUAGACGUGGCCAGGAAAUACUGAAUUAUGUUUUCAUGUUGUUUUAAAGGAAACUACGAUGGUAGUAUGAAGGAGAUCCAUUCUGUUUUUUUACUGUUUAUAAUAACACAGAUGUAACAUGACUGUAAGUACUUGAAUGGAGAAAUGUAUCGUGUUAGUCACAGUGCAAGGGUACCAUAUAAGUGUAGGUGCUUACUGUGCACAUAUUGAUUGAUGAAAGGCAGGAACCUAGAGAGGAACCAGGCUCUGAGGGGUGGUCAGUCCUCUUCUGGCUGUGCUGGUGGAGAUUAUAAAAGAGUACAGCCAUUUAGCCAGACUAUUCUUCAAGACGUUUAAACGUUCAUAGAUGACCAUCGGUGUCAAAUAAAAUAGGUUUAUAGAGGGUGCAAUAGUUCAGCACCUCAGGAGUAAAUGCCAGUUGGCUCUUUAUAGCUGAGCAUUUAGAGGUUGAGACAGUAGGUCCGGUAAAGAGAGACAGGAUCAAACAGCAGGUCUGGGACAAGUUAGUACCUCCAUUGAGCCUUGAGCAGGUCAGGGUUCCAUAGCUGCAGACAGAAACAGCAGAGACUGGAUCAGCAGCAUGACUAGGUGGACUGGAGACAGGGACAGCCAGGAAUCGUCAGGCCAGGUAGUCCUGAGGCAUGGUCCUAGAGCUCAUGUCCUGCAGCCUUUAUUUAACUUGAGUGUAGACUAAGCCCUAGAGGUUUGUAACUUCACAUGAUUUAGCCUACUUGUCAAUCCAGAUCUGAAUAUUUUAUAUAAUUUUUACUGUACACUGUUGAUAGUAAUUUUUCCCAAGCUAAUCACUGAAUGGCCUACUACAAGGAUGUGGUCAUAAUAACACAGAACACACACAUAUCAGAUUGCAACGGCAAGUACAAUGAGCAGUUAUGAAAAUGAAGUCUGCUGCGUGGGUUGCCAGAUACACACACACACACAAACUUAAUUCAUUUGUUGUAUUGUAUUUAUUAUGGAUCCCCAUUAGCUGCUGCCAAGACAGCAGUUACUCUUCUUCGGGUCCAGCAAAAUUAAGGCAGUUAUACAAUUUUAAAAACAUUACAAUACAUUUACAACACAUUAAGUGUGUUCCCUCAGGCCACUACUCUACUACCACAUAUCUACAACACAAAAUCCUUGUGCACGUGUGUGUACAGUGCGUAUGUUAUCGUGUGUAUGCAUGUGUCUCUUCACGGUCCCUGCUGUUCCAUAAGGCGUAUUUUAUCUGUUUUUUAAGAUCUAAUUUUACUGCUUGCAUGAGUUACUUGAUGUGGAAUAGAGUUCCAUGUAGUCAUGGCUCUAUGUACUACUGUACGCCUCCCAUUGUCUGUUCUGUUUAGGUUAGUGUGUAGUCAAGGCUUUGUCAUUAAAAUUAUAUUGUGGCCAUUUUUCAGAACUGCCAACCUGCUCGGUGGGUGACAGAUCUGACACCCCUAUUAGCUCAACCACAGUCUUCACAGCUGCAGUCGUCUGCCCCUGCAUCUGCUACACCGGCCACGACAGGUGAUACAGGUCUGCCAACCCCCAGCAGUUCAGCUGCUGUCACAGCAGUCCUCUGCUGUAGUAUUUAAUUUACCGGCUGCACCAGUUCCUACUACACUGGGAGUGAAGGGAGAAACUUUUGAGGAUACCCAGAUGGAUACAUAUCUGCCAUGCACUUCACCACUGCCUGACAGCCUCACCCAGAAGUGCAUACACUGGGCCUAUCAAGACUGACAAAGCAGAGAUGGGUGGCUGACAAGGAAAAAUAAAAUAACAUGCACUCACACACAUUAUCCACAAAGUAAAUAAGUUGUAAUUACUUGUUUAUUUAAUGUUUGCUCCAUUUUAUUUUCAGAUUGGAGAUAUCUACUCCUUCAUAACCAAUAUCUACAUAAUUACUGUAAAUAUCUAUCAAAUCAAAGUGUGAAUGAUAAUAUUGUAAAAGACUAUGGCUUAAUGUUUACAGUUUGAGGAAAUUCUGUGUGCUUUUUUCAGAGUUGAAAAACAUGUCUCCCUCUCACAAACGCACAUUAGACCCAAUGUAAAUAAAUUGUAAUAAGUUGUUUGUUGUAUGUAUGCUACAUUUUAUUUGAGGAAAAUAUCUGCAAUAAAGUACAUUCACAG